AUUCCAACGUCCAAACUCUCUCUCUCUCCAUCCUCUAGUUUCAAGUCUCUGCGUCUUCAAGCAAAGAGAAGAAGAGAAGAAGAAAUCGUGAAGCCUCCUAGCCUCCAUCAUCCACCUUGAAGCCGUGAUGCCUUGCAGCCUUGCUUUCAAGAUUCAAGAGUCCAACGUCUCAAGCUCUCCAUCACCAUCUCCAUUCACGGUGUACCUUAAAUCCCCGGUUUGAACGAUCCCUAUUUACCAUAUACUAACGAUGAUAUUUUUCUGGGUUAAAUUGGAUGCUACUUUUAGCAUAUCAAAAACCAAGCAACUGAAAGGAAAGACAUUUAGAUACAUACUGUACACACUUGAUGAUUACAUCAGCACCGAAGAGUAAAUGAUGGGGAACUGCUGCAGUCGGGCCAUCACUCGUGAGGUACUAAGUAUCAUCAAGUAUAUAAGGUGUACCUUCAAUCCCCGGCUUGAACGAUCCCUACUUAUUCUAUACUAACGAUGACAUUUUACAUGAUUAAAUUGCGCGCUUGCUUUUAGCGUAUCAAUUGUUUCUCUCUUAGUGGAGGCUGUGUUGUGCUCCUUAUGUACAUUUUUCAGUUGGUCAUAACUUUGUACCUUCUUCAUGGAUCAAUCGAUGUUAUUUGUUCCUUCUUUUUCAUCAGAACAAAUUGUAUUGUUUCUCAAUAAUAUAUAGAAGAAAUUUGGUGGUGUAGUCAUGUUGUUUUCGUGCCAUUUCUCAACAGGGUACAUUACAAUUUUGGUGUUCUAGUCAUAAUUUUGUUAUCGUCUCUCAACGUUGUGCAAUUGAAAAUUGAUGUUCUAGUCAUGUCUUACUAUGCUUGAAGAGGGGCCCACGAAAAGCCAUUUGCCUUGCAUGUCUUCUUGAUGAAGCCUUGAAGCAUGGUGUUUUAAUGUUAUCACAAUCAAAGUUUUUGCUGUAUCGUCCAUUUUUGCUCUUUGUCUUUUCUGUUUUGUUGUUGUAUUUAAACAUUCUAAUAGUUUGAUUGGCUAUGCAUUUAGUAUCUAAGUCUUGAUGUUACAUCUGAGCUAUGUCAUUUGUAUCUUGGUUUAAAAUUUCAUGAAGUUUUGGAAAUCCUGGUGUGACCUUGCGUGGAAAAUUAUACUCCUUUGAUAAUAUAGUCACAUUUGUAUGAAGCUGAGGCUGUUGAUGUGGUUUUAUUGUCACCUUAGGUCUUAGCUGCA